UACGGGGGGGGCAAGCGUUGUUCGGAAUUACUGGGCGUAAAGGGCUCGUAGGUGGCCAACUAAGUCAGACGUGAAAUCCCUCGGCUUAACCGGGGAACUGCGUCUGAUACUGGAUGGCUUGAGUUCGGGAGAGGGAUGCGGAAUUCCAGGUGUAGCGGUGAAAUGCGUAGAUAUCUGGAGGAACACCGGUGGCGAAGGCGGCAUCCUGGACCGACACUGACACUGAGGAGCGAAAGCUAGGGGAGCAAACAGG
rnacentral:rRNA from 1 species